AACGACCAGGGAAACCCUUUUUGGUUGACCUGAUAUAACGGGAGGGCGCUUGCGCCCUGUCUGUUUAACCCUUUGCUUAUGCGUACCUUUUUUGUUGCUUCCUCGGCGGGGACGCUCGCCGGUGGAUAGCCCUUUUCCAACCCCUUUGCAGUUGCAAUCAACUUCUGAUCUUGACCAAAAAAUUAGUCA
rnacentral:misc_RNA from 1 species